rnacentral:rRNA from 1 species
GGAUGAGCCCGCGGCCUAUCAGCUUGUUGGUGGGGUAACGGCCUACCAAGGCGAUUACGGGUAGCCGGCCUGAGAGGGCGACCGGCCACACUGGGACUGAGACACGGCCCAGACUCCUGCGGGAGGCAGCAGUGGGGAAUCUUGCGUAAUGGGCGAAAGCCUGACGCAGCGACGCCGCGUGGGGGAUGACGGCCUUCGGGUUGUAAACCUCUUUUACCACUCACGCAGGCCCCGGGAUUCCUCGGGGUUGACGGUAGGUGGGGAAUAAGGACCGGCUAACUACGUGCCAGCAGCCGCGGUAAUACGUAGGGUCCGAGCGUUGUCCGGAAUUAUUGGGCGUAAAGAGCUCGUAGGCGGCGUGUCGCGUCUGCUGUGAAAGACCGGGGCUUAACCCCGGUUUUGCAGUGGAUACGGGCAUGCUAGAGGUAGGUAGGGGAGACUGGAAUUCCUGGUGUAGCGGUGAAAUGCGCAGAUAUCAGGAGGAACACCGGUGGCGAAGGCGGGUCUCUGGGCCUUACCUGACGCUGAGGAGCGAAAGCGUGGGGAGCGAACAGGAUUAGAUACCCUGGUAGUCCACGCCGUAAACGUUGGGCGCUAGGUGUGGGCGACAUUCCACGUCGUCCGUGCCGCAGCUAACGCAUUAAGUUCCCCGCCUGGGGAGUACGGCCGCAAGGCUAAAACUCAGAGGAAUUGACG